GGGAGAGAACGAGCGCUGCCGGGAUAGCCGGCUCCGAGGCGCCCGCCCGCGGGUCAGCGCCGCCCGAGAGCGCCGCGGCCGGUGUCCCCGAGGGGAAGGCGGCGCGGCCGUCCCAACGCUCGGCUGCCUCCACUACUCGGUCCCCAUUCCUCCCCUCCAGGACGUUUGGGCCAAAUCGCGCUAGUGCUCGUGUUUUCAAAACCCCUCGGUGACUGGUGCUGUCAGUCUCGAGAGCGGGGACUGUCAGUGUGGCGUGGCUCAGUUCUGGUUCUGAGGAGUUACGUGUGGACUCACACUGGGCGCUUGCACACUCGCACCCGUCGGGACGCACGCGCGCCCCGCGGUGCCCUAAGUUUCACGAACGGCAGAGUCUGCGCCCGAGCCCGGGGCCGCGUCCGCACGCCGCUCGGCCGAGGCCUGGGGACCCUCGCUAGCCUCAGCCCCGCCCUCCCCUCCUCCUCCGCAGCGGCCCGCCCUGCCGAGCCGGGGGCGGCGGGGGGGUGGUACUCGCCGCGCCAGCAGACCCCACCGCCUCCUGUCGGACUGUGCGGCGGGCGCGUGACGUGGGAGCAGAGCCGCGGGCCCGCGUGCGCCGCCGCCGCCGCCGCCGCCGCCGAGUGCGCACGCUCCGCGCGGACGUGACUCGGCGCCCCUGGCACUGGCGGCCUCAUUGAACGAAUGCACAUUCCAGGGAUCCGGGAUCUACGGCCGGCGCGGUCGCGUCACCGCGCAGGCUCCGCCCCCUCCGGCGACAGGAGGCCUCCGGGCCCCGCCCUCGGGACCAAACUUGGGCCGGAGGGGGCGAGGGCGCCCGGGUCCGCGCGGGGCCGUGGGGUGGCCGGCUGGCAGGCUGGUGGAGUCGCGCGGCCCGGGCCAUCGGCGGAAGUCCCCGGCGCCGUCGUGGGGCGGGACCGACGGCGUGGCCCGGGCCCGGGGAGCCCCCGGUGGGCGCGGACCCGCCUGGCGCGAAGGCGGGGCGCGGCCGCAGAGCCCGCUGGGCCCGCCGCGCUGUGCGGGUGCUGGCGGCCGCGGGCCGUGCCGGGACUGAAGUGAGCGCUCGAGUGUCCCACUUUUAUCGGGAGGAGGAGCUGCUGUGUGCCAUGGUGAAUCGCUUCUGGCCGGUCUUAGUCUUACUAACAGACGCGGCUUAGUCACUCUCGGUGGUGACCCAGACACCUCGGCUCUGCACGGGCGGCCCUUAGGAGCUGCUUUUGUUGGAAAACAGGCCCGCAGCGCCCGCCGAGACGGGAACGGGCUGGCCCCGUGUGGGAAGAGCAGGGUACUCAUUACAUUAUCUUGCCUACCACUGGGUUGGUAGGUGGAGAGAGAAAAAAAUCCUGCUGACGUUUCUCUGUAGUUGUUGCUGUUGAAAAUGCCAGGUUGCUUCAAAGGACUAACCACAAGGAAGAGGAAAAACACCCUUAGCGAAAUAGUGGAGGGAGCUGCCUCAGCAGCAUGAAGAAACCUGUUCGAAAGUGGCGCAGAAAACGUAGUGCCAGGCCCAGAUGUUUUUACAGGCCAACCCUGCAUGUCUUCUGGGGAUUUCCAGAGAAGGUGUGCUUGCCGUGGAGGUCUCCCCAUCUGGUCCCGGGUCUUGCUUGCAAUGGCAGUCCUGCCUCACCCUCCUCUAGCAGGGGGCACUGGACAUGCCCAGUUCCUUCCCUGGAGCAACUGGUGCCAGUGGGUUUGGUCACUCCCGGUACCUGCCGUCUGGAGCCUCUUUCAGGACCUGUCCCUCCAGUCGCUCUCCAGAGAGACCCUGUGCCACUCAUUAUAGCACGUGACUUCUCUCUCCGAGCCACUGCCCGAAGUGGACGAGGUCCAGGCUUUGUGCCGCAGACGAACUAGCCAUCUGGACACACCCAAGACCUGCCCCCCCGCCCCCAGGCAGUGACUGGAAGAUUAGAAAACAAAAAACCCACCCUCUGUUAGAGCCCUGGUGUCAUUAUACUCAUUUACCUGCAAGCUGGUACUGUAAUACCCUCAAGGGAAAGCUUGCUGUUCUAUCCCAAAAUAGAAACACCGAGAUACAAAUUCUGCCUUGAGAGGGACUAAGUAAGGAUUCUUGUAGAAUGGAGCUUUUCUUCUCCAAAUGAAGGGCAUUUCCUUUUUAUUUUACACUAGGAGUUUAAUGUCGAAACCGAGUUGUUGUAACUUCCCUAAUGAAAUGCCUGCUGGAGAAUGGGGAGGCUAUUUUAGUUCUGGUCUCCCUUGCCAUAAAAGGCUCCGGGAUCAAGGGGGUUAAGGCUGGCCCUGGAUCCGGGACAGCAAUUCCUUAUAUUGUAUCAAAAGUCUUUCAUGAUGCCUGGCCUUUCAUGUAGCUUCGAAGCAGCUUUAUCGAUCUAUGCUAAGUAAACAUAGCUUUGUUUUCGUCUUCCACCCUCCGCCCUCCCUCCCGGCACAGACUGGAGUUGGAUCCCUUCCAAAGCGGCUGCUGCAGCAGCAAGAGCCACCUCCUCCACACACAGAAGCAGGGCUUCUAGGAAACAGAAACCCAAGGUAUUGAAAGAUUGAGUGAUUUGCCUACAGUAGCAUUAAUGUUUUAUGUACAGAGGAGACACAGAAGGCUCCCUGCAGAAGGAAAAAAGGAAGAAAAAUUUAAACGACUCAUCAUGGGCUGUAAUUUAUUAAUUGGAGUAAGUGUGCAUUAGCACAUCUGCUCCUGUGCCCACAUGGCAAUGCCUCUUUGCCAAGGGGAGUGCAGAAUCAUCGAGACAAUCCAAAUUCACUCUCAGAACUGAGUUGACACAGAGAAGAAGAAAGCCGAACUUGUCUUGAGAACAGACAGCCCAAGUUUGUGCCCUGCUGAAAGACCACCAGUGGACAGAAAUAGAGAAAGAUUUCCUAUUGCGACUGCCUAAAUAUGGUGUGUUUACUAAAAAUCUGGUCACAGCUAAAAUGCAAGUACGGAUGAACUUUGAUGGACUUGUUGGCCUGCCUUGUCAGCCCUUCCAGCAAAUUCCUUAGUGAGGAAACCGGUCUGAAAACUUGCCUGGGAACUUCACACAUGGGAACUUCCUAGGGGCUAUCUCUUAGCAUUUCAGAGAUAUCUAGAUUUUGAACAUUUUUCAGAUUGCUUUUAUUCCACUACCUAUCGAUCUACCUACAUUUGCAUUAACAGAUCAAUUCGUUCUUCUUCACCAUGACUAAGAAGUCAUGUCCGCUCACUUUAUCAAUUUAUUGGAGCACCAGGGAAAUGAAGACUUUGCUGUAAACAACAGCCAGAAUCCACGUUUCCCGGACUGCAGUUCUUUCUUUAGCCCACUGGUGGGCUACCUCCUAUUUCUGUUUUCUUCCCAGGUUCUUUUUUUACAUACAUGUAAAUACCCACAUAGGAAGUGGGUGAGGAACCAUAGGUUCUGUUCACACACCCAGCAGAUCACCUGAGGCAGGUCACUUGGACACCCUGGGCUGGAGUUUUUCUCUACUGGGAGAUGAGACGCUGAACUCAAUGCCAUUUCCACCCAGACCCUUCCCACGGUGCACAAUUUCAUGGGCAUACAGGGGACUUUGACAAACCCAAGCCCCACAUUCUUCUGACACACGUGGCAUCACAAAACAAUGCAUAGGAGUGA